UGUAUAUAUCUAAACUUAAAAGGCCUGAGAAUACCAAGAAAUAGAGGAAUAUUCAUCUAUAUUAAUUCUUUUGUGUUCUACUUUCCUUUUUACUUUCAAAUCUUUAAUUAACCUGGGAUUCAUGUUGAAAAUUAUGAAGGUUAAUUUUAUGUGUCAACCUGACUGACCAUAAAGUGCCCAAAUACUUGGUCAAAGAUUAUCUUAGGUAUGUAUGUGAGGGUGUUUUGGAUGAGAUUAACAUUUGAAUCUGUAGACUGAGUAAAACAGGCUGUCCUUCCUAAUGUGAGUAGGUCUCAUCCCAUCAGUGGAGGGCCUGAAUAGAACAAAAAGUCUGAACCUCCCUUACAUGAGAGGGAAUUUCCUCUUACUUGAUUGCCUUAUGGCUGGGACAUUGGUUUAUCCUGCCUUUGGACUCCAGCUGAAACAUCAGCUUUUCCUGGGUCCACUGACCUUGGGACUGAAACUGCACCAUUGGCUCUCAUAGGUCUUCAGCUUGCCAACUGCAGAUCUUGGGACUUGUUAGCCUCCACAAUUGUGUGAGCCAAUUCCUUAUCAUCUCUCUCUCUCAUGCUGUGUGUGUGUGUAUAAUAAUUAAUAGAUAUCUAAUUGUGCACCCUACCCCAUGAUUUAGUCAAUUGUUUCAACAUUAUGAAAAUCUAUUUUUUUGAGACAGUGUCUCACUCUGCCACCCAGGCUAGAGUGCAGUAGCACGAUCUUGGCUCACUGCAACCUCUGCCUCGCAGGUUCAAACAAUUCUCGUGCUUCAGCCUCCUGAGUGGUUGGGAUUACAGGUGCAUGCCACCACUCCCAGCUAAUUUUUGUAAUUUUAGUAGAGAUAGGGUUUCACCAUGUUGGCCAUGGUUAAUCUCCAACUCCUGACCUCAGGUGAUCUGCCUGCCUUAGCCUCCCAAAGUGCUGGGAUUGCAGGUGUGAGCCACCAUACCCAGCCUAAAAUCCUCUUUCAAUAUUGACUAAAUACUCACAUGUGUUUUGACUUGAUUCACAGAUUCAUAUUCUCUUCUAUUAAUAUGUGACUAUCUAUAACUUUAUCAGUAAUACAUUAUUUAAUUAUGGUCAUUUGAUAGAUGUUUAAUAUCUAGUAGUGCUUGUCCAAAUCAAUUUGAAUAUGUUUAUGCUACUACAAUGAAAUAAAGAUGGGGACUGGGCUGAAGUUAGACAAAUAGUAUGCUUUUCAACCUGAAAGGCAAAGACAAAGAGACAGCUUUUCGAUCUUUUCCUUUCUUUUUUCUCUUCUUCCUGCCUACCUACUUGUUUGCCUUGACUACAACAACACUCCCCCAACUAACUGCUUAGACAUUUAUGCUCCUGGAAGCCCUGUUGGAAAACCAUCUUCUUAGACUUUUAUCUGCCAUCCCAAGGAAUUUGUAGCUAUAAAUUUCCUCUGAACACUUCUUUUGCUGCAUCCCAUAAGUUUUGGUGACGUGGAGUGAAUCAGCUCUUCUUUCAUCUUGGAAGUAAUAUCUUGACAUGCUGCAAACCAAUGAACCAUCAGAAACUUCACCGAGGUUUCAAACACUUGUACUAUGUGCACUACAACUAUGGACAGAGUGACUACUGGCAGAAAUGAACCCAUGUGAGAAUUCUGGGAUCGAAGAGAACAAGGAGCUAAAGGAAGUCAGUUGGAUGAUGUAGGAGGGAGGCUCCUGUUUUUCUGACAUCACUGCCAGAUGAAGCACCAAAUAAUUAGAAAGCUUUCACUCCAUUUGCCUUGGAUAGAUUUAAAGGCUAGGCACAGUCAUUUGUGUUAGUUAAAAUCUCUGAAACCUUAAAAAUAAAUAAAUAAAUAAAUAAAAUCA
rnacentral:lncRNA from 10 species